CUACGGGUCGCAGCAGUGGGGAAUAUUGGACAAUGGGGGCAACCCUGAUCCAGCGAUGCCGCGUGUGUGAAGAAGGCCUGCGGGUUGUAAAGCACUUUUAGUGAGGAGGAAGAGCCUAAUGAAAAUAUUGUUAGGUAGUGACGUUACUCACAGAAAAAGCACCGGCUAACUCUGUGCCAGCAGCCGCGGUAAUACAGAGGGUGCAAGCGUUAAUCGGACUGACUGGGCGUAAAGGGCAUGUAGGUGGAUGUAAAAGUUAGAUGUGAAAUACACGGGCUCAACCUGUGGGCUGCAUCUAAAACUGGACAUCUAGAGAACAGUAGAGGGCAGUGGAAUUUCCGGUGUAGCGGUGAAAUGCGUAGAUAUCGGAAGGAACACCAGUGGCGAAGGCGACUGUCUGGGCUGUAUCUGACACUGAGAUGCGAAGGCGUGGGUAGCAAACAGGAUUAGAUACCCCCGUAGUC
rnacentral:rRNA from 1 species